UACGGAGGAUCCGAGCGUUAUCCGGAUUUAUUGGGUUUAAAGGGUGCGCAGGCGGAGGUGCAAGUCAGCGGUAAAAUUUCGGGGCUCAACCCCGUCGUGCCGUUGAAACUGGCGUUCUUGAGUGAGCGAGAAGUAUGCGGAAUGCGUGGUGUAGCGGUGAAAUGCAUAGAUAUCACGCAGAACCCCGAUUGCGAAGGCAGCAUACCGGCGCCCUACUGACGCUGAGGCACGAAAGUGCGGGUAUCGAACAGG
rnacentral:rRNA from 1 species